CUUGUUCAGCUGCAUGCAAUAAAUCCUGCAUUUCCUUAUUUGCAUGCAAUAAAUCCUGCAUUUCCUUAUUUUCUGCACAAUCAAAAUUUGCCAACAUUUUGUGUUUUAGCAGUGACAUUAAGUAUUGCUGAUAUUUAAGUAUAUGAAAUUGACAAUUUAAAGCCCUCACUGCCAAAGUAGCAGAAGU